CUUCUUGUAUAAAUUUGAGGUCUGAUCUGUCCACUGAAGAAUGAUUUGAAGGACCGCGGUAUAUUGACCGUGCAAAGGUAGCAUAAUCAUUAGUUUUUUAAUUGGGAACUGGAAUGAAUGAUUUGACGAAAUAAUUAGUGUCUCUAGAUAUAAUUAAUUGAAUUUUACUUUUAAGUUAAAAGGCUUAAAUAUUAAUAAGGGACGAUAAGACCCUAUAGAUCUUUAUAGUGAUUUUAUUAUUAUUGUUUUAGAUGUUUAUAUUAUAUAUUUUAUUAAUUUUAUUAUUUUGUUGGGGUGAUGUGAGAAUAUAAUAACUUCUUAAUUUUUAACUUUGAUAAUUGAAUAUAUGAUCCUAUGUUAUGGAAUGAAGAUUAAGAUACCUUAGGGAUAACAGCGUAAUUUUAUUGGAAAGUUCUUAUUGAUAAUAAGGAUUGCGACCUCGAUGUUGGAUUAAGAAUAUAAACUAGGGUAGGUGCUAGAAAUUAUUGGUCUGUUC
rnacentral:rRNA from 1 species